rnacentral:rRNA from 1 species
CCUACGGGAGGCAGCAGUCGAGAAUCAUUCACAAUGGGGGAAACCCUGAUGGUGCGACGCCGCGUGGGGGAAUGAAGGUCUUCGGAUUGUAAACCCCUGUCAUGUGGGAGCAAAUUAAAAAGAUAGUACCACAAGAGGAAGAGACGGCUAACUCUGUGCCAGCAGCCGCGGUAAUACAGAGGUCUCAAGCGUUGUUCGGAAUCACUGGGCGUAAAGCGUGCGUAGGCUGUUUCGUAAGUCGUGGGUGAAAGGCGCGGGCUCAACCCGCGGACGGCAGAUGAUACUGCGAGACUAGAGUAAGGGAGGGGGAACCGGAAUUCGCGGUGUAGCAGUGAAAUGCGUAGAUAUCGAGAGGAACACUCGUGGCGAAGGCGGGUUCCUGGACAUUAACUGACGCUGAGGCACGAAGGCCAGGGGAGCGAAAGGGAUUAGAUACCCUGGUAGUC